rnacentral:rRNA from 1 species
AUUGAACGCUGGCGGCAUGCCUUACACAUGCAAGUCGAACGGCAGCACGGGAGCAAUCCUGGUGGCGAGUGGCGAACGGGUGAGUAAUAUAUCGGAACGUGCCCAGUCGUGGGGGAUAACGUAGCGAAAGCUACGCUAAUACCGCAUACGAUCUAUGGAUGAAAGCGGGGGAUCGCAAGACCUCGCGCGAUUGGAGCGGCCGAUAUCAGAUUAGGUAGUUGGUGAGGUAAAGGCUCACCAAGCCGACGAUCUGUAGCUGGUCUGAGAGGACGACCAGCCACACUGGGACUGAGACACGGCCCAGACUCCUACGGGAGGCAGCAGUGGGGGAAUUUUUUGGGACAAAUGGGCGGCAAGCCUGAUCCAGCAAUGCCG